AUUGAACGCUGGCGGUAUGCUUAACACAUGCAAGUCGAACGGCAGCACGGGUGCUUGCACCUGGUGGCGAGUGGCGAACGGGUGAGUAAUAUAUAGGAACAUGCCCAGUAAUGGGGGAUAACGACGAGAAAUCGUUGCUAAUACCGCAUACGCCCUGAGGGGGAAAGCGGGGGAUCUUCGGACCUCGCGUUACUGGAUUGGCCUAUAUCUGAUUAGCUAGUUGGUGAGGUAAAGGCUCACCAAGGCGACGAUCAGUAGCUGGUCUGAGAGGACGACCAGCCACACUGGGACUGAGACACGGCCCAGACUCCUACGGGUGGCAG
rnacentral:rRNA from 1 species